rnacentral:sRNA from 1 species
CUUCAAUGUUCUUAACUAUGUCAUCUUCUUGGACUGCUGUUACUGCGCAGCACCCAAGCCCCAGGGAGACAUGGAAGCAGGUGAUUCCUUCAACACCCAGAAUGAGCCAGAAGAGAUGAUGAAAAAAGAGAAAAAGUCUGAAGCUCUGAAUAUCAGAGGUGUACUUUUGCAUGUGAUGGGAGAUGCCCUGGGGUCUGUGGUUGUGGUAAUCACAGCCAUCAUAUUCUAUGUGCUUCCCCUGAAGAGUGAGGACCCGUGUAACUGGCAGUGUUACAUUGACCCCAGCCUGACUGUCCUUAUGGUCAUCAUCAUUUUGUCAUCUGCCUUCCCGCUCAUCAAGGAGACCGCUGCCAUUCUGCUACAGAUGGUCCCAAAAGGAGUCAACAUGGAAGAGCUGAUCUGGUAACAAAUAGUUAAUGGACUGACACUGGUAUGCAGAUCAAGGCUUUGAGUGGCACUAUGUGCAUGGAAAAGAGAAGAGAAUCAAGGACGGAGCCCUGGGGCACUCUGAUCUUUGGAGAUCUGGUAGUUGGGGGAGGAGCCAACAAAAAAGCUGGAGGAAGAGCAGCCAUGAGUCCAGCCUGAUGAAUGCCUGCUCAACCGGUUUGAUCAUUUUGACUGAAACAAGUGGUCAUUUUAUGUCCUAUGGGAUGCUUGCUGAGGACAUUAAACACAGAAACAAGUAGAACAUGAAUUCAGAGUGAAGGAGAUGUUAAGGGGAUGGAGAAAUGGAGAAAGAGAGUUGAAAUAACUCUCCUAUUACCAUCAAGCAAAUCAAACACAGAAUGGGACCAGCAUGCCACAUUCCCUCUGUGAAGCCUUGGAGUGCAACUGCAUUAGCUCAAUGGUGCAUUUCACAACGUCACAACUUCAUCUCAGAUCAUCACAAAUUGCCCAUAUUGAAACCUGGGUGCAAUGAGAAUAAUCAUUAAAAUUUUCUCUGGUCUCACUUUUCUGCUUUACAGUGGUAGUUGAGAAUGUCAUACCCCUAAGGACAUGGGAAAGAUGUGUCCUUGACUGACUGAUCCCUGUGACACAGUCUGACACUUUGCUUUUGUUCAGCAAUUCUCCAAGCACUGGAUUGCAAUGAUGCCCUGUUGACAGCACUGCUCAAAAGUCGACCUGUUGUUGCUGGAACCUCCAAGAAUACUGUGUUUGAUCUCAGCCGGGAUCCUGUCUUGGAAGAGAAGAGGGAAUCCCACAAACUACUUGUGAAGAAGAUCCCAUUGUUCAGUCAAAUCCUCUGUCACUGUAGCAAUCCGUGCAUGCCGUUGCAGUUGGCAUUCUGACAUGUGUACACAGUGUUUUCAUCUCUUCCCUGGAGUUGCGGCCAAAGCCUGAGAUUCCUUUCUACACGACCCUGAAAAAACUCUGGAUUUGUGCUCCCCUCUGCUCUGCAAUAACAUACCAGCUCUGUGAUGUGGCCAAUGUUUACCUAGUUGGUGGGAGGACUUUUUAAUAUCAAAAGGAAAACGUUUCUUCUGCAUUCCACAUAGAAUCUGCCAAGGACAUUCCCGAAGAUCUACUUACUUAUUAGAGAAACCAAGAGAGUCCCAGCAGCACAGAGGGAUCGAGAAGGCUGAGAACAGAACUGGAGAACAAAAGUGAAGUGGUGGCAAAGUGCUGGACCAGAUGUUAGAAGUCUCCAAUUUGCUCUCGACAACAACAAUCCACAAGUAACCCUGAGAAAAGUCAUCUCUGUUUCCCCACUGGUAAAUGAUUGUAAGAAAAAUAGUGCCUAGUGGGGCUUACGUAGAGGACUGGGAAGCUGAACUGUGAAAAAUGAUUCCAGGGUUUCAGGCCACCAUGGCUACUACUCUUUUGUACCCAGUUCUUUGCUCCUCAAGGAGCCUUGUUUUCUAUACUUGUGAAUAUUUCAACCAACUAAUAAAGGUUUAAUGGC